UAAGCUAUUCAGGGUCCCUUGAGAUUCCAUAUAAAAUUUUAGGAUAGGAUUUUUCUAUUUUUGAAAAAACCACCAUUGGCAUUUUGAUAGAGAAAUGUGUUAAAUCUGAGGUGGCUUUUAGUAGUGUUAACAUUAAGUUUUCUAAUCCAUAAACACAGGAUAUCUUCCAUUUAUUUGCAUCUUUACUUUCUCUCAGCAGUGUUUUGUAAUUUUUGCUGUACUAAUUAUUUUACCUCUUUAAAUUUACUCCUAUUUUAUUCAUUUUGAGAUUAUUGUAAAUGGAAUUAUUUUCUUAAUUUCCUUUUCCAAUUGCUCUUUGUUAGUGUGUAGAAAUGCAACUGAUAUUUGUAUGUUGGUCUUGUUUUCUGUUUUCCUGUUAUUAACUCUAACAAGAUUUUUUGUUUUAUUUCUGUUGUAAGCUUAAGGUCUUCUACAUCCUUUCCCAUUGGGAUCCUCUUAUUUCUUUUUGCUGCCUAACAGCUCUGGCUAGAAAUUCCCAUAUUAUACAGAAUAAAAGUGGGAGUUCCCAUUGUGGCACAGUGGAAACAAAUCCAACUAGUUACCAUGAGGUUGCAGGUUUGAUCCCUGGCCUUGCUCAGUGGGUUAAGGAUUCAGUGUUGCCAUGGUGUAAGUCACAGACAUGGCUCAGAUCCUGUGUCACUGUGGUUGUGGCAUAGGCCAGAGACUGUAGCUCCAAUUUGACCUCUAGCCUGGGAACCUCCAUAUGCUGUAGGUGUGGCCAUAAAAAAAAAAAAAUUGGUGAGCUGAGGUAUCCUUCUCUUGUUCAUGAUUUUAGGGGAAAAAAACUUUUCAGUCUUUCACCAUUAAUUACGACAGUGUGAGGUUUUUAUAUAUCUUUAUGUUGAGGAAGAUCUCAUCUACUCCGAGUUUACUGAGUGUUUUUAUUACGAAAAUGUGUUGAAUUUGUCAAACCCUUUCUGCAUCAAUUGAGAUAAUGGUGUAGUUCUUUUCCUUUAGUCUAUUGUGGUUAUUAUCAUAUUACCUUAAUUUUCACAUGUUAAACCACUCUUGCAUUCUGAGAAAAAAUCCCACUCAUUUAUGGUGUAUAAUCCUUUUAGUGUGGUGUGGGAUUCUGUUUGCUAGUAUGUUUUAGAAGAUUAUUGCCUCAAUAUCAAGGACUAUUGGUCUAUAGUUGUUUUUUGUUUAUUUUGUUUUUUUGCCCAUGCCUAUGACAUACAGAAGUUCCCAAGCCAGGAAGCAAACCUGAACCACAGCUACAACCAGAGCCACAGCAGUGACAACACCAGAACUUUAACCUGCUGAGCCACAAGGGAACCUAGUGUAUGGCUUUCUUGUAGUUCUUUAUCUGGUCUUAGUAUCAGGGUAAUGCUGGCAUUACAGAAUGAGUUAGUCAGUAUUCCCUUGUCUUCAGGUUUGGGGAAGAGUUUGAGGACUGGUAUUAAUUCUUUAAAUAUUUGGUAGAAGCCAGAAUUCCCAUUGUGGCACAGUGCAGACAAAUCUAGUAACUAGUAACUAGUAACUAAUAAUCCUGAGAUUUCAGGUUCUAUCCCUGCCCUUGCUCAGUGGGAUAAGGAUCUGGCAUUGCCAUGAACUGUGGUAUAGGUUGAAGACAUGGCUUGGAUCCUGCAUUGCUGUAGCUGUGGUAUAGGCCAGCAGCUGUAGCUCUGAUUUGACCCCUAGCCUAGUAAUCUCCAUGUGCAGCAAGUACGGCCCUAAAUAGCAAAGAAAAAAAUAUUUGGUAGGAGUUCCCGUUUAUUUGGCAGUGGUUAACAAAUCCGACUAGGAACCAUGAGGUUGUGGGUUCGAUCCCUGGCCUUGCUCAGUGGGUUAAGGAUCCGACAUUGCCAUGAGCUGUGGUGUAGGCUGCAGACACGGCUCAGAUCCCACAUUGCUGUGGCUCUGACAUAGGCUGGCGGCUACAGCUCUGACCCCUAGCCUGGGAACCUCCAUAUGCCACAGGAAGUGGCCCUAGAAAAGGCAAAAAGGCAAAAAAAAAAAAAUUUUUUUGGUAGAAUCCAUCAGACAAGCCAUCUGAUCUAAGCUUUUCUGUUUCUAAUUACUGUAGGUCUAUUCAGAUUUUCCACUUCAUAAUAAUUGCAUUUUGCUAGAUUUUAUGUUUCUAGGAAUUUGCCACUUCAUCUAGGUUAUCCCACUUGCUGAUAUAAACUUAUUCACAGCAUUCUCUUAUGAUCCUAUUUACUUCUAUAAAACCAGUACUUACAGCCCCACUUUCUUUGAUGCUUUUAGUAAUUCAAAUCUUUUUUCCAUAGUCAAUUUAAUUAAAAGUUUGUCAAUUUUGUUACUCUUUUCAAAGAAGCAACAUUUGUUUUCAUUGACUUCUGUUUUUCUACUCUUUUUUUUUUUAUUAACCUCUGCUCUAAUUUUUAUUAGCUCCUUUCUUCUGCUAGUUUUGGGGUUAGUUUGUUCUUAUUUACUCAUUUCCAUAAGGUGUAAGAUUGUUACUGAUUUGGCCAUCAUCAAAAAGUUUACAAACAAUAAAUGCUAGAGAGGGUGUGGAGAAAAGGGAACCCUCUCAUAUUGAUGGUGAGAACGUAAAUUGAUAGAACUACUAUGGAACCAUUAUGGAGGUUGCUCAAAAAACUAAAAGUAGAACUAUCAUAGGAUCCAGCAAUCCCACUCCUGGACAUAUAUCUGGAGAAACCAUAAUUUGAAAAGAUACAUGCACCCAAUGUUCAUUGCAGCACGAUUUACAAUAGCCAAGACAUGAAAGCAACCUAAAUGUCCAUCAACAGAGGAAUUGAUAAAGAUGUGAUACAUAUAAACAAUGGAAUAUUACUCAGCCAUAAAAAAAGAAUGAAACAGUAUGAUGUGCAGCAACAUGGAUGGACCUAAAAACUAUUAUACUAUGUGAAGUUAGUCAGACAGUGAAAGACAAACAUCAUAGGAUAUCACUUAUAUGUGGAAUCUUUAAAAAGGAUACAAAUGAACUUACUUGCAGAACAGUAACAGAUUCACAGACUUUGAACAGGAACUUAUGGAUACCAAAGGGGACAGGUAUUUUUGGGAGGGUGGACUGGGGGUUUGGAAUCAGCAUGUGCACACUGUGGUAUAUGGAAUGACUGGCCAAUAGAGACCUGCUACAUAGCACAGGAAACUCUGCCCAAUAUUCUGUGAUAUUCUAUGUAGGAAAAGAAUCUGAAAGAGAAUGGAUAUGUGUAUAUGUAUGACUGAAUCACUUUGCUAUACCCCAGAAACUGUCAUAACCCUGUAAAUCAAAUAUACUUCAAUAAAACUUAAAAAAAGAUUGUUAUUGAUUUGAGAUCUUUCUUUUUUCAAAUCUAAGUGUUUUAAUUCCUAGCAGUGCUACUGCUGAAUCCUAUAGGUUUUGGUAUGUUUUGUUUUCAUUUUCAUUUUCUUAAGGUAUUUUCUAAUUUCCUUUGUAACUUCUUUGACCCAUUGGUUAAGAGUAUUUUGUUUUCCACAUAUUUGUAAGUUUUGUAGUUAUUUAUUUUCAGUUUCAUUCCACUGUGAUUACAAAAGAUAAUUUAGGAGUUCCCAUUGUGGCGCAGUGGUUAACGAAUCUGACUAGGAACCAUGAGGUUGCAUGUUCGGUCCCUACCCUUGCUCAGUGGGUUAACGAUCCGGCGUUGCCGUGAGCUGUGGUGUAGGUUGCAGACAUGGCUUGGAUCUGGCAUUGCUGUGACCAUGGCACAGGCCAGCAGCUACAGCUCCAAUGUGACCCCCAGCCUGGGAACCUCUGUAUGCCAUGGGUGUGUCCCUAAAAAAAAAAAAAAAAAAAAAAGAAAAGAAAAGAAAAGAAAGAGAGAGACAUCAAAUAAAACCCCAUUGCUGGUUCUUUGGAAAGAUCAACAAAAUUAAUAAACUUAUAACUAGACUGAUCAGGAAAAACAGAGAAGACGCAAAGUAACACCAGAAAUGAGAGUAGUGACAUCACUACAACUGCACAGAUAUUAAAAGACUAUUAUGAACAAGUUUAUGUUUAUAAAUCUGAAGACUCAGAGAAAAUAAAUUCCUUGAACGAAACAAAUCACCAAAGCUCACUCAAGAAGAAAUAAGUAAUUUUCACUCGGUUUUACUUUGCAUACUUUUACUUUUCUUUACUCUGUCUUAAAGAAAUUAAUACCUUUAUAUCUAUUUGUAAUAUAAAAGAAUUUAUAGGUUAAAAACCUCCCCACAAAAAAGUAAAAACAAACAAAAACUCUAGGCCCAUAUAGCUUCUCUCAUGAAUUCUAUUAAACACUUUAAGGAAAAAUAAUACUAAUUCUGAAUAAACUCCUACAGAAAUGUAAACAGAAGAAAAUAUUUCCCAGCUUAUUUAUUCUAUGAGGCCAGCAUUACUGCAAUAUUAAAACCAGACAAAGCCAUUACAAGAAAAGAAAAUACAGACCAAUAUAUUUCAUGAACAUAGAAGUUUGGCUAAAUAUAGGAAAACCAAUUAAUAUAAUUCAUACUACCAAACUAAAAAAGGAAAAACUAUAUGAACAUUCUCAAUAAAUCCAAAAAUAAUUUGACAAAAUGUAACACCCAUUCCUGAUAAAAAUUUUUGGAAAAGAACAGAACUUCUACCCACACACCUAUGGAUAAUUAAUCUGCAACAAAUGAGGCAGGAAUAUACAGUGGGAAAAGACUGUCUCUUCAGCAAGUGGUG
rnacentral:lncRNA from 1 species